CCAAACUGUUGAGAUUACAGGCGUGAGCCACCGCACCCAGCCUCAAGAAUGUCUUAAAUAAUGUGUUAUCCACCUACCACAAGAGCACUGUUCACCAUACCAGUUGAAGGAACCCAACUUGGCACUGCAUUUUGGGCAAAGAAGCUGAAAUAAAGCAAAUGUGUUACUUUAUUCAUUCACUUUUAUACAAAACAAAUCAUUAUCUUUGGCAAUCAAUAUAGGAUAUAAAAACAAGACACGAUCCCCACGUUGAGUUUAUAAUCUAAUCAGUGAGAUAAAAUGCAUUGGAAAUUUACUGUAAUAGAUAGUAGACUACAAUUAUCUCAUAGGAAGAAUGUUGUAUUCAGGGAGCUUGAAGGGAGAAAAGUGAAGCUUGAGAUUUGAUUAAGGAAGGUUUCAUGGAUGUGGCAUAUAUAUAUAUAUAUAUAUAUAUAUAUAUAUAUAUAGCUUUUAAAUCAGUUUGUAAUUUAGGACUUCAAAUGAAAAUGAUCACGGCUAAAGUAUAGAAAAGCAUGUUAGGAUUUUCAUGCUGUAUUACUAACUGUGUGUAUUGACAGCAUAUAAGUCAGAUUCUUAGCUAUUUAAAGACAAACUGAUAUUCCAGGAAAAUAGGUAAAUCAAAAAAGCCUAAUAAGGCAACUGCAUUUUCUUCUAAUGUAGUUAGUUAUAGCAUUAAUUUUUAUGUUUAGCUCUUUGAUUUAUGCAUGGUAUAAGGUAAGAGUUUUUAUUUUUAAUCUUGAGCUAUAGAAAACUAGACAUAAAACUCAGAAGCAGGCUGAGUGUGGUGGCUCAUACCUGUAAUUCCCAGCACUUUGGGAGGCCAAGGCGGGCAGAUCACCUGAGGUCAGGAGUUUGAGACCAGCCUGGUCAACAUGGUGAAACCCCGUCUCUACUAAAAACACAAAAAUUAGUUGGGCAUGGUGGCGGAUGCCUGUAAUCACAGCUACCUGGGAGGCUGAAGCAGGAGAAUAUUUGAACCCAGAAGGCGGAGGUUGCAGUGAGCCAAGAUCACACCACUGCACUCCAGCCUGGGCAACAGAGCAAGACUCCGUCUCAAAAAAAAGAAAUUCAGAAGCCAUAAAUAAAAAAACUAACAAAUUUUAUUAUGUAAAUAUCCUUCAUUUUAAUAUGACAAAACAUAAAAAAUCUGAUAAGCAAUAGACUGAAGAAAAUAGUUGCAAUAUAUUAGAUGAACUAUUAACAUCUAGAAUAUAUAGAGGUCCUACAAAUGAGUAAGAAAGAGACAAAACCCAUAGGCAAAUGGGCCUAGGAAUAUGAAAGCAAUUUAUAGAAAAGAAAACAGUAAAUGGCUGGUAAAUAUAUAAAGAUGGUGGUUGAUGACUAUUUUCAUAAAAUUCCAAUUAAACAUUUUAGGAUUAACAUUUUUUACCCCACAGACUGACAAAAUGUUACCAGUUUUAUAGUAUCUAUUAUGUCAAGGAUAUGGAGUAACGGGUACAUGCAUUCAGUUACUGAAAACCAAAUUUGUAUGGGCAUUUUGAAUAUCAGCCUGGAAUAUCACUAAUAUUUAAAAUACAUUCUUCGAGCCAGGAAUUCCACUUCUAGGUACAUAUUCUACAGAAAAAAAUCAAAUAUGUAUACAAAUAAGUAUGCACAGGAUUUAGAAUCUUACAUAAAAAUGUAUUUAACUUGGCUGGAGUGUGUGUGUGUGUUUCCCAGGUUAAGUAAAAUUAGAAAGCCAGAAUCACAAGCCACAAAAAAGAAAAACUGAUAAAUUAGAUACCAUCAAAAUUAAAAUCUCUAACUGCUACAAAUAAUACCAUCAAGAAUGGGAAUUGCAGCUGGGCAUGGUGGCUCACGCCUGUAAUCCCAGCACUUUGGGAGGCUGAGGCAGGUGGAUUACCUGAGGUCAGGAGUUCGAGACCAGCCUGACCAACAUGGAAAAACCCCGUCUCUACUAAAAAUACAAAAUUAGCCAGGCGUGGUGGCGCAUCCCUGUAAUCCCAGCUACUCAGGAGGCUGAAGCAGGAGAAUCACUUGAACCCGGGAGGCAGAGGUUGUGGUGAGCCAAGAUUGUGCCAUUGUACUCCAGCCUGGGCAACAAGAGUGAAACUCCGUCUCAAAAAAAAAGAAUGGGAAGAGUGGGAAUGUGAAUUGUGAUGUGAUACGGUUUGGUUCUGUGUCCCCAUCCAAAUCUCAUCUCAAAUUGUAAUCCCCAAGUGUGGAAGAAGAGAGGUGAUUGGAUCAUGGAGGCAGAUACCCCCAUGCUGUUCUCGUGAUAGUGAAUGAGCACUCAUAAGAUCUGAUGGUUUUAUAAGUGUUUGACAGUUCCUCCUUCACAUAUGCUUCUCUCUCCUGCCGCCUUGUGAAGAAGUGGCCUGCUUUCCCUUCUGCCAUGAUAAUAAGUUUCCUGAGGCCUCCCCAACCAUGCAGAACCAUGAGUCAAUUAAACCUCCUUCCUUUAUAAAUUACCCAGUCUCACGUACUAUCUUUAUGGCAGUGUGAAAAUAGACUAAUACACGAUGGUUGCAAAAACCACUGUGAAUACACUUUAAAAGCCACUGAACUAUACACCUUAAAUAGGUAAAUUGCAUGUUAUGUGAAUUAUACUAUAAUAAGGCUGUUUUUUUUAAAAAAAGCAGCAUUAUCCGAAAAUGUGAGUUUGAUUAUAUGGUACCACUUUCUAGGCAAGACACUACUCAUAAACAGUUUCCUCAUGCACAACACGUGAAUAUAACUGCUCUACCUAUUUUAUAAAGCUAUGGCAUUCUUCAAAUGGUAUAAUACAGUGAAAGGGUUUCAUAAACUAGCCACUAUACAAACUUUUAUACAAACCAUACAAACUUUCAAAAUCAUUAUUAAGAUGAUUAUUAUAGAAUACCUUCACAUUAAUAUCAAGUAAACCUAAAGGAGAAAUGUGGCUGUCAUGGCACACUCCAACCAAGUUAAACACUUUUUUAUGUAAAAUGUCACAUGAACUGCAUUCUUUUUUUAUUUCCCUACCCACUGGUUACAGGAGCAAUAGGAUGAGCUGCAUUAUUUAACUGGAAAUGAAAAAGAAUCUCAUAGCAAAACAAACUAAAUUUCACUCUCCUAAAAGAUAAGAAAAAAGAGAAAGACACAUACAGGAAGCCAACAGAGAAAAAGAAAGACAGAAUUUUUAACCUAAUUUUAAAAUCCCUGAUUUACCCUAUCUUGUUACAAAGUUCAAAUUUUGUUUAAUACAUUUUUUCUUUUCUUUUUUUCUUAUUAAAAAUUUUUUACUUUCUUUUAUAGAGAUGAGGUCUCACUAUAUUGCCCAAGCUGGUCUCGAAACCCUGGGCUCAAGUGAUCCUCCCGCCUCAGCCUCCCAAAGUGCUCAGAUUACAGGCAUGAGCUAAUGAGGCAAGAGUGCCCAGCCAAUAUAUUCUAAUUAGUUUAAAAAUAAAUGUUAGUCUUAUAUUUGAAAAAAAUAUAAAUAGCCUUAAAGGAAAUUUAUUAACUUAGACCAGGGCUCUCAACCAGAAGUAGUUCACUAUGUUGGAUCAGCUGGUUUUUGAAAAAUAUUUUAUUUUUGAUAGUCUUAUCUACACUAGAAAGAUAUAAUCUUCAGAAAUAAAGAAAUUAAGAAAUGGAGCAAAACACUAGUUAAAA
rnacentral:lncRNA from 1 species